rnacentral:tRNA from 1 species
ACGCUUUGUGGCGAGGGACAGAGCGCUACCCUCCGGAGGUAGAGGCUUCGAGUUCAAAUCUCGACGGGCGCACCA